UAACGGCGUGGAAGGAACCUGCCUAAAGGAGGGGGACAACAGUUGGAAACGACUGCUAAUACCGCAUAAGCCCACAGCUCGGCAUCGAGCAGAGGGAAAAGGAGUGAUCCGCUUUGAGAUGGCCUCGCGUCCGAUUAGCUAGUUGGUGAGGUAAUGGCCCACCAAGGCGACGAUCGGUAGCCGGACUGAGAGGUUGAACGGCCACAUUGGGACUGAGACACGGCCCAG
rnacentral:rRNA from 1 species